rnacentral:rRNA from 1 species
ACACAUGCAGUCGAGCGGAUGAGGGUAGCUUGCUACCUUGAUUUAGCGGCGGACGGGUGAGUAAUGUAUAGGGAGCUGCCCGAUAGAGGGGGAUACCAGUUGGAAACGACUGUUAAUACCGCAUAAUGUCUACGGACCAAAGUAUGGGACCUUCGGGCCAUAUGCUAUCGGAUGCCCCUAUAUGGGAUUAGCUAGUUGGUGAGGUAAUGGCUCACCAAGGCGACGAUCCCUAGCUGGUUUGAGAGGAUGAUCAGCCACACUGGGACUGAGACACGGCCCAGACUCCUACGGGAGGCAGCAGUGGGGAAUAUUGGACAAUGGGCGCA